rnacentral:rRNA from 1 species
ACGAACGCUGGCGGCACGCUUAACACAUGCAAGUCGAACGAGAGAAGAGAAGCUUGCUUUUCUGAUCUAGUGGCGGACGGGUGAGUAACACGUGAGCAAUCUGCCUUUCAGAGGGGGAUACCGAUUGGAAACGAUCGUUAAUACCGCAUAAUAUAAUUGAACCGCAUGAUUUGAUUAUCAAAGAUUUAUCGCUGAAAGAUGAGCUCGCGUCUGAUUAGCUAGUUGGUAAGGUAACGGCUUACCAAGGCGACGAUCAGUAGCCGGACUGAGAGGUUGAUCGGCCACAUUGGGACUGAGACACGGCCCAGACUCCUACGGGAGGCAGCAGUGGGGAAUAUUGCACAAUGGAGGAAACUCUGAUGCAGCGAUGCCGCGUGAGGGAAGAAGGUUUUAGGAUUGUAAACCUCUGUCUUCAGGGACGAAAAAAGACGGUACCUGAGGAGGAAGCUCCGGCUAACUACGUGCCAGCAGCCGCGGUAAUACGUAGGGAGCGAGCGUUGUCCGGAAUUACUGGGUGUAAAGGGAGCGUAGGCGGGAUCGCAAGUCAGAUGUGAAAACUAUGGGCUUAACCCAUAAACUGCAUUUGAAACUGUGGUUCUUGAGUGAAGUAGAGGUAAGCGGAAUUCCUAGUGUAGCGGUGAAAUGCGUAGAUAUUAGGAGGAACAUCAGUGGCGAAGGCGGCUUACUGGGCUUUAACUGACGCUGAGGCUCGAAAGCGUGGGGAGCAAACAGGGUUAGAUACCCUGGUAGUCCACGCCGUAAACGAUGAUUACUAGGUGUGGGGGGACUGACCCCUUCCGUGCCGCAGCAAACGCAAUAAGUAAUCCACCUGGGGAGUACGACCGCAAGGUUGAAACCCAAAGGAAUUGACGGGGGCCCGCACAAGCAGUGGAGUAUGUGGAUUAAUUCGAAGCAACGCGAAGAACCUUACCAGGUCUUGACAUCGUAUGCAUAGCUCAGAGAUGAGUGAAAUCUCUUCGGAGACAUAUAGACAGGUGGUGCAUGGUUGUCGUCAGCUCGUGUCGUGAGAUGUUGGGUUAAGUCCCGCAACGAGCGCAACCCUUACUGUUAGUUGCUACGCAAGAGCACUCUAGCAGGACUGCCGUUGACAAAACGGAGGAAGGUGGGGAUGACGUCAAAUCAUCAUGCCCCUUAUGACCUGGGCCUCACACGUACUACAAUGGCUGUUAACAGAGGGAUGCAAAGCCGCGAGGUGGAGCGAACCCCUAAAAGCAGUCUUAGUUCGGAUUGUAGGCUGCAACCCGCCUACAUGAAGUCGGAAUUGCUAGUAAUCGCAGAUCAGCAUGCUGCGGUGAAUACGUUCCCGGGCCUUGUACACACCGCCCGUCACGCCAUGGGAGUCGGUAACACCCGAAGCCUGUAGUCUAACCGCAAGGAGGACGCAGUCGAAGGUGGGAUUGAUGACUGGGGUG